GUUUAUAAACAAAACUACAAUAAGGCUUUCAAAUAUGCUGAAAUUGCGAAAAGAUAACUGUAACGUCGGUUAGAGAAACGGCCGUUAGUCUGUUACCCUAAUCUAGUAGCCAAAAAAACUGCUGGCUCUAAGAGGAUCAAGCUCAACUCAGAAAGGCGUCAAUGGCUUCUCUUGCUUCCUCCUCCUUCUCUCUCCUCUUCUCUUCUUUAUCCUCCAAGCUUUUAUGAGCUUUUAUCCUCCAAGCCAAAAAAACUGCUGGCUCUCCGCCUUCGCUUUUAUCCUCUCCACCCCUCUCUCUUUCUUCUUCUUUCUCCCAGUCCUCUCUCCUCUCUCUUCUUUUCUCUCAAUCUCUCCAACUUCUUUAACAUACUCCACAUGUUCCAGGCGCCUUUUUGCCUCUAACUUCACUGUCAAGGCCAGCGCCGCAGAGAAGAAGAAGGUCCUU
rnacentral:misc_RNA from 1 species